rnacentral:lncRNA from 1 species
AGCGGAAGAAAAAAAUAUUGCUGACAGAUGUACGAAUAAUAACAGUAAUAAUAAUAGCAUUAAUAAUAAUAACAGUAAUAAUAAUAAUAAUAAUAGUAAUAAUAAUAGUAAUAAUAAUAGUAAUAAUAAUAGCAGUAAUAAUAAUAGUAGCAUCAAAUUGGAUGCAAUGGGAAGUGGUAAUAAUAACAAUAACAAUAAUAACAAUGACAAUAAUAACAAUGAUAAUGAUAAUACUGUAGGGUUAACAGCUAUUUCAAGUUUUAUAGAAAAAUUUUAUGAUUUAUAUACAAAAGAUGUAGAAGUAAAUAUAAACUUGCUAAAUAGAUCUUUUGUAUUAGCCUAUAUAUUUUUAAAUAAAUUAAAAAAAGUUAAACAAGUAAAGAGAGAAUCCUACAUUGUGUAUAAUAAUAUACAUAAAGUGUUAACACAUAUAGAGAAAUAUAUAAAAAAUUGUUUUAAUUUAUUUGGUAGUAAAGAACAAAAAGUUAAAUAUUUCCCUUGUAACUUUAUAACUAUUAAAGAUUAUGAUGAUAUCAAUGAUAUUGUAAUAUCAAUUGAAAAUAAAAUACUCCAAAAUGAAAAUUGUACGUAUAUGAAAGAAUUAAAUAGUUAUGAAAAUACAGGAAAUAUAAAAAAUAUAAUUAUUGAAAACGUUAUGAAUUUAUUAGAUAGAUUUAUUAUUUUUUCGAACAACACUUUAUUAGCUAGUUUUUUACUAAAAUGGAGCUCUAAUAUGUUUGCUUAUGGUACUUGUGAAUUUUUAUACUACCCUUUACUUUAUCAAAAUAGUAGUGAUGCUGUUUUGUCAGAUUUUGUUAAGAAUGCGUUAAAAUUACAUGAAAAAGAAAGAAAGUUAUUUAUCGACGAAUAUAUUUCAUUUUUAUCAAAAAAGUGGUGUUGCAUAAAAAGAGAUGUGCGAAUUUGUAUUAUUGGUGGUACGCGUUUUCGGCACUCUAAUUCAGUGUCACCAUCUUCGUCAGGUUAUGUACAAGAGGGUGUGUCAGUUAACAUUCACGCAGAUGUACCACUUGAUAUACCUGUCAAUGUGUCAAAUGUAUGUGCACAAAGUGAUAUAUACCAAGUGAUGGAAACACAAAGGGACGAAAUAAGUACCAUGGCAACACUAGAGUAUAAAAAAAUAGAGCGUGACGCUCCUUUUUUAAUAAGUGAUAUAGAAUGUGUUAUGAAUUAUAUCAAUAUAAAUUAUGUAAAUUAUGAUUUAAAUAAUUUAUACUAUGUAAUUAAAUAUAUUGAAAAAUUAAAUUUUUCAAAGUUUAAUUGCGUGGAAACUUUUUUUUAUGCUUUUUUCUUUUUAGAUCUAUUUUUCAUGCUUAUAUUAAAUAGUGAACAUGGCCAAAAAAAUAAGUAUUACAUAACUUACUGUUCUGUUUUUACUUUAUUUAUAAAAUCAUUACCAGUUUUGUUACAUAAUAAUAGUAAUCAUAAGAGUAGAAUAGAAAUGGAUAGUAAUAGUCAUAAUUUACAAAGCAGCAUUGAUAAUAGUGUUGAUAUAAAAAAAAAACCAGACGCCAUAAAAUACGACAAUAUAAUAAUAGUUGAUAGUUUGACAAUUUUUAUAAAAAAGAAAUUACCAAUACUAUUGGAAAAUAUAUUGUAUAGUGAUGAUCAUAAAUUAGUAAAAGAAGGAAGUAAGUUUUUAAUAAAUUUAUAUUUAUCGAUAAAAAAAUCAAAUGAAGAUUUAUUUGAUGACAUUUUAAAAUUAUUAAAACCUAUGGAUUUAAAAAAAAUGAAUGGAAGGGAAAGUACAAAGGAAAAUAAAAUGAUAUGUUCUCAAAUAUAUUUGUUUGGUUACUUAAUAAAAAAGGAAACAUACUUUUAUGAAAAAUAUGAUUUUAUGUUAAAAAAGGUUACGGAUUAUGUGUUAUAUAUAUAUUACAAUUUUAUAAAAACAAAAAAUGAAUUAGUCGAAAAUAUAAUUUUGUUAAAAUGUUGUAUAAAUUUUUUUUAUUCAGUAUUUUUUACAGAAUUGUUUUUAUUAAAAUGGUGUAAAGUGUUAAGUACUAGUAAUUACGAUCGUGCAGAAGUGUCCACGGGUUUUAUUAGUAAUGGUGCUAUAGACGAUAUCGGGAUGAACGGAAGUUGCCACGAAAGUAUUAUCAAAAGCAAUAUUAUUAGUGAUAACAAUUCAAAUAUGUACAGAUAUAUUGUCAAAAUUUUUGUAGAUUUGGCGAAAUAUGUAAAAGGUAAUAGUAACACGAUUGACUAUGAUUUUGCGUUAUUAAAAAGUAUAUUAAAAAUUUUUAGUUGUUUCGUAACUUUAAAAAGAGAUGAUGUGAAUUUGAUGCUAAAGGAAGAUAUCCAACACACCAUGAUAAACAAUGAUAAUUUUUGGAUUGAAAAACUUUAUGGUCGUUAUAUUUCUAGCAUAUUUUUGAAAUUAGAUAAGAUAAACUCAAAUAAAAUAGGAAACGAUUUUAUGCAAUUUAUUCAUAACUGUUUUGACGAUAAUUCUGAGAACAAUGAUAUAAUUUUAAAAAAAAGAAAAAAGAAUUUUUUAUGUAUUAUUUUGUUUUAUAUAAUAUACUAUAAUCCAUUUUUAGAAUAUGUAAAUGAAAACGCAUCAUUCAUAAAAAAUAUAUUUAUUGAUAAUAUAAAAUCUGAAAACGGUAUAUGUUCUGAUUAUGGUUUUUUAGGGCUAAGUGUUUUAUUUUUUGCACUUUCGAUGCAAGUAAAUAUAGAUAUUGGUAACAUAGAAUGGUUAAAAAAAAAUUAUAUUUGGUUAAAAGAAAAAGGACACAUUUUCAACAUGUAUGGUAAUAAUAAUGAACAAACGGAUGAUAACAAUAAUAAACGAACGUAUGAUAAUUAUAACAAACAACAGGACGGGAUCUUUUUAAAAAGAGAGCAAUCAAAUAUAUGCAUUUCGGAUACAGGUACAGGUACAGGUACAGGUACAGAUACUAGUGCUUGUGUUUGUGCUUGUGCUUGUGCUUGUGCUGUCACUGGUAAUUUGUUAAAAAACAAAAAUAAAGCACAAGUAGUGUUACCUUACAACAAUUACGAAAAAAACAAAAUACAAGGGAAUUUACAAGAAAAAAAUAAAAAACAGAAGGUGACAAAAGUGAGUUGUUCUCUAUUAUCAGACAAUUGCUCUUUUGUUAACCAUUUUAUGAAUAUGAAUAAAAAUGACGCAGAAUUAGAUUAUCCGAAUUACUCAGAUAACUUGGAAAAUAGUAUGACCGGAGAUAAUAACAAUAAUAAUAAUAAUAAUAGUAGCUGUUGUAAUAAUGUGGGAAUAAAAGCGGUUGAUAAUCGCAAGAUGGAAAAAUAUGCCGAAGAGGUAUAUGAAGCAUUUAACACAAUGAAUGAUAAUAAUAUUUAUAUGGACUAUUUGAAUCAGAAUGGACAAGAAAUAUAUGAUAUUACAAGGAAUAAAAUACAAAACUUUGAUGAUAAAAAAAAUGACAAUUUAAAAAAUGUAUAUGAACAUGUUACUAAUGAAAAAAAUAUUAGUUUAAUUAAACUUUUUAUAUGUUUAAGUAAAUAUUGUUAUAAUUAUAUACAUCUUUUUUUAUUUAUGCAGUAUCAUGAUUUGAUAGUUUAUACAUAUGACAAGAAAGUUAUGCCUUUUUUUUGUUUGAAUGAUGAUGAAUACGUAGAUAGAUAUGUAUUAUGUUCUGUAAAUAAUAUUAGCUCUGAUAGUGAUGAUGGUGCGAGUUUUUUUGAUGUACAAAAUAGUAGUAUAAUAAAGGGUGAUAAUAAUGAAAGGAAAUGUAGCAAUAAUAAUGAUGUAUGUGGUUUUACAAAUUUGUCAACGAAACUAGAAAAAGCAGCUUCUUUUUGUAACAAUAAGGAAAGUAAAUUAGUUGAUUAUAAGAAAGCAAACAAUAAAUUUUGUUUUUUUAUAAAAUAUAUUUAUAAAAUAUUAUUAAUAAAUAAAAUAAAAGAACAGAAUGAUGUAAUAAAAUUUAAAAUAUUUCAGUAUAUACCUAUUAAUGAUAUUCGUAAAAGUGUAAUAAGAAUUGAAGAUGAGUUUUUAAAUUUAAAAAGUGAAUUUUUACAAAGUACGUAUGCAAUAGCAGCUGUAAAUAAACAAUUGAUGAGUUAUUUAGUUGACAUAAAUUAUGAUAUAAUUACUAAAGCUAUGUUAAGUUUUUUAAUAGAAUAUUUGAACAAUAUGAAUUUGGAAAAUUUGGCCAUACAUAUACCAUAUUUUUUACACAUUGUUUGUAAAAAAAUUAUAAAUACAUAUGUUAUGCAAGAAAAACUGUGCAUUAAAUUUUUGUCUACGUUGAAAAGUGUAUGCGUUAAAUAUUUCCAAGAGUACAAACCAGUAUAUACAUUGGAUAGAAACAAGAAUGUAGUUACUAUGAAUAAAUCUAUAUUUGUUGAUAGUGAUAAAUAUUUAGUAAGCACAUUUGAUGAUGUUUUAACAGAGAAAAGUGUAAAAGAAAGAAAAUCUGUAUAUAGUAAGUUAAAUGAAAAAGAAAAUUGUAUCACUGAUAUAACAGAUGAGAGUAAAAACAAAGGAGAUAGGUGUAUAUUUUAUUUAUUACAUUUUUAUAAUGAAUAUGAAGGGAUAAACAAAAAUGUUGAAUUAUACAUUAUUGACUGUUUGAAUAGUUGCAUAUUGGAAUAUGUUAAUAACACCAGGAGUGUUAUAAAUUUUGAUUUAAGAUUUUUAAUCGAAUUUUCAAUAAAGAUUAUUAAAAAGCUGGAAUCAUGUUAUAGCGAAUUUAAAAUAUCAAAAAUGGCAAAUGACACUUUGAUUAAAUCUACAGAAAAAGAAUUAUUUUUUUCGAAAUUGAGCAGGUAUAAUACUAUAACAAAACAAAAAGAAAUAUUAGAAAAAAUAAUUAAUAAGUAUAAUGACUUAUUAUAUAUUGAAGAAUGUAUUAGCUAUAUAUUAUUACUGAUGUUGAAAGGUAGUGAACAUAGUAACGAUGACAAUAAUGACAAUGAUGGCAGUAAUAGUAAUAAUAGCAAUAGUAAUAAUAAAUAUAAUUUAAGUUUUAUUUCUUUUUCAAUUAUCAAAUUGCUAGAUAAAUAUGCAUUACUGCAACAACAAACAAAAAAAGCGAAUAAUAUAUUUUUAUAUAUAAAUUUAUGUGUUAAUACUUUCAAAUUUGUAUCUAAUUUUAUAUCAAAAAAUAUUGGUAAAAACAAAGAAUUACAUAAUAUAAACGAUUUAUUAUAUUAUUUAAUACAUAAUAUUCCUUAUCAUUAUUAUAUAGAAUUUGUGUAUAAUGUAUUGUUAAAAGAUUAUUAUGAAGAGAUGGUGGGUAUUAAUUUUAAAGCUAAUCAAGACAUUAGAAGUUACAGCGGAUUGAUUAUAUUAUAUUUACUAAAAACAAAUUUGAUUUUAGAUUUAGAUGAUACACACGUUUUUAGAGAUAAAAAAAAAAUUGAUAAUAUUAAUAUAUUUAACAUAAUUACUUUUGUUAAUCGUAUAAAUAGUAAGCUCAAUGAAGAGUUACAAAAGGAUGAGGUAAACAAAUGGAUUUGUUUGAAUGACAAAACGGCUAAUAAUAAUGGUGUAACUAUUGGCAUAUACAAUGAACAAAAUGAGAAGAACGAUUGUUUAUUAAAUAAAACGAAUUCGAAUAACACAGAAUACGUUAAAUUAAAUGAUAAUGUGUUAUUAAUAAAAAAUGGUUUACGAUUAUUAAUUGAUGAAUUAAAAACUGACUCAUGUUUAAUUGACUGCAGUGUAAUAUUAUCACAUGGAAAUAAAAAUUUAGACGUUGAUUAUGAUUCUAUUGAGAAAAUGAUAAAAAAAAAAAUAGAAUCGAAAUUCAAUAUUUUAUUAGAUAUAAAUAGCAAUAUGGUAAGUAAUUGUAAUGAAUUGGAUAUAUUAGUAAAAAAUAUUAACAAUGUUGUUAUUUAUAUAUGUAAAGAAGAGUUAAGUGAAAGAGAAAAAUUUUAUGAAAAAAAUAAAGAAUUGUUAAAAAAAAUUGAAUCCAAAUUAAUUGUACGUAGCUUCUUGAUUAAACAUAUUAACAAUUAUGAAAAUAAUUAUUAUAAAAAUAUUUAUGAUAUAAUAGAGAAAAAAUAUAGUUUUCAUUUUUAUACAUUUUUUAAUGAAUAUGUAAAUGAAUUCGAUGUUUUUCUAGAUUUGAAAUUUGCAAAGGAUAAAAAAGCCGGUUUGAUGUCUGUUAUCACUUUUUUAGAAUAUUUUGUUAACAUUUUUAAUUCUAAUAAUUAUGACGAUUUAGAGCUAGAAAAUGUGAAACAUUUGUUGAAGUUGUACGAGAAGUUAAAACAGU